CAAGUACGAGAGGGAAUGCUCGUACCUUGACGGUACCUUGCGAGAAAGCCACGGCUAACUACGUGCCAGCAGCCGCGGUAAUACGUAGGUGGCAAGCGUUGUCCGGAAUUAUUGGGCGUAAAGCGCGCGCAGGCGGCCUUUUAAGUCUGAUGUGAAAGCCCCCGGCUCAACCGGGGAGGGUCAUUGGAAACUGGAAGGCUUGAGUACAGAAGAGAAGAGUGGAAUUCCAUGUGUAGCGGUGAAAUGCGUAGAGAUGUGGAGGAACACCAGUGGCGAAGGCGACUCUUUGGUCUGUAACUGACGCUGAGGCGCGAAAGCGUGGGGAGCAAACAGGAUUAGAUACCCUGGUAGUCCACGCCGUAAACGAUGAGUGCUAGUUGUCGGCAUGCAUGCAUGUCGGUGACGCAGCUAACGCAUUAAGCACUCCGCCUGGGGAGUACGGCCGCAAGGUUAAAACUCAAAGGAAUUGACGGGGACCCGCACAAGCGGUGGAUGAUGUGGUUUAAUUCGAUGCAACGCGAAAAACCUUACCUACCCUUGACAUGCCAGGAAUCCUGCAGAGAUGUGGGAGUGCUCGAAAGAGAACCUGGACACAGGUGCUGCAUGGCCGUCGUCAGCUCGUGUCGUGAGAUGUUGGGUUAAGUCCCGCAACGAGCGCAACCCUUGUCAUUAGUUGCUACAUUUAGUUGAGCACUCUAAUGAGACUGCCGGUGACAAACCGGAGGAAGGUGGGGAUGACGUCAAGUCCUCAUGGCCCUUAUGGGUAGGGCUUCACACGUCAUACAAUGGUCGGUACAGAGGGUUGCCAAGCCGCGAGGUGGAGCUAAUCUCACAAAACCGAUCGUAGUCCGGAUCGCAGUCUGCAACUCGACUGCGUGAAGUCGGAAUCGCUAGUAAUCGCGGAUCAGCUUGCCGCGGUGAAUACGUUCCCGGGUCUUGUACACACCGCCCGUCACACCAUGGGAGUUGGAUUCACUCGAAGGCGUUGAGCUAACC
rnacentral:rRNA from 1 species